rnacentral:misc_RNA from 1 species
UCACCCCUCAAGCCCCCGGUUUGGUGUUGGACGGUUUGGUGGAGACCCGCCUCGCGGGUUCCUGCCCCUCCCAAAGACAAUGACGGCGGCCUCGUUGGACCCCCGGUACACUGAGUUCUUCACGGGACACGUAUCGGACACAUGGGUUAACGGGGCACGGUCUGCCUCCCCUCAGGGAGAAUCUUCUUCUAA